rnacentral:rRNA from 1 species
GAUGAACGCUGGCGGCGUGCCUAAUACAUGCAAGUCGAGCGAACAGAUGAGGAGCUUGCUCCUCUGACGUUAGCGGCGGACGGGUGAGUAACACGUGGAUAACCUACCUAUAAGACUGGGAUAACUUCGGGAAACCGGAGCUAAUACCGGAUAAUAUAUUGAACCGCAUGGUUCAAUAGUGAAAGACGGUUUUGCUGUCACUUAUAGAUGGAUCCGCGCCGCAUUAGCUAGUUGGUAAGGUAACGGCUUACCAAGGCAACGAUGCGUAGCCGACCUGAGAGGGUGAUCGGCCACACUGGAACUGAGACACGGUCCAGACUCCUACGGGAGGCAGCAGUAGGGAAUCUUCCGCAGUGGGCGAAAGCCUGACGGAGCAACGCCGCGUGAGUGAUGAAGGUCUUCGGAUCGUAAAACUCUGUUAUUAGGGAAGAACAAAUGUGUAAGUAACUAUGCACGUCUUGACGGUACCGAAUCAGAAAGCCACGGCUAACUACGU